GGUAACUAUGCAGUCCUACGUUUUAUCAGUAGCCAUUUUAUUUUUAUUUCCAAUAUUAUCCGAAACUUCAAAAGGAUUUCGUCAAAAAUCGCGCAUUCCCAGAUAUCGAGACAUCAGAAAGUUUCUUAAUACAUCGGAGCCAAUAUGGACCUAUAAUUCAACGCUGGAAGAAACGCUGCGCUGUCAGGUGGACGUUAUGUCCAAAUGCAGCCUAUAUUCAAUUCAGUACAAAAGGUCGUACGAUAUUAACAAGCAGUACGAACAGAGCACCUAGAGGGAUGGUUCCUAAAGCACCGAAGAGAUGAGAUGUUUGUUGCCGUUCUAGGGAAUGUGCCAGUUAUUGCAGAAAAACUUGUCUACGCGAGUGUCGAUGCAAGUUGUGGUGUCUUCAAGGUGACGCUGCCAUUCCCUGGUGAAGAGCCUUGGCACGAUCUGAGAGUAAAAAAUUCUUCUAUUGUGACUGGACCAAGGCAGGAUUGUUCAAUGUAUUUCAAAGAUGCCCUAAAUAAAGGAACAAAGACUAAACCACUCAAAAAAGGCGGGAAUAUGAAGGCUACGGGAAACCCAAUUUAUGAUCCUCAGUGCCAACGUAUACUUCGGCCGAUUUUAGGCCUUCGGCCUCCCUCUGUGAAAGAUGAGCACUUGUGAUGAGAUGAGCAUUGUCUCUUUCGAAUACCUGCGAGAAACAUCAGCAAUAAAAUUGUUUAUUU
rnacentral:lncRNA from 1 species